rnacentral:rRNA from 1 species
AAGCUCGUAGUUGAAUUUCGGGAUUGACACAUCGGUCGUGCCUUAAGGGGUAUGAACUGGUGUAGUCAAUUUCUCACCCUCUGGAGAACCACGAUGCCCUUAAUUGGGUGUCGCGGGGAACCAGGACCUUUACUUUGAAAAAAUUAGAGUGUUUAAAGCAGGCAUUUUGCUUGAAUACAUUAGCAUGGAAUAAUAAAAUAGGACGGCAUGAUUCUAUUUUGUUGGUUUCUAGGAUCACCGUAAUGAUUAAUAGGGAUAGUUGGG